AUGUUUUUACUUUAAAUUACUACCUUGUCUUAAUCCCUAAAAUUCCCGAUUUCACUACACAACACAAAUCCUAAUUUACCUUCUCUAACCUAAACCCUACCCACAUUAACACACACACACACGGUACCUAACCCACCCCUCACUCAAGUCACACACUCAGACUCAACAAGCACACACACACACACAAACAAAAUGAAAGAAGAAAAGAAAAAGAAAGGAAAAAGGGGGAAGAGAUAGGUCUGAGAGGGAGAGAGCGACGGGGAUGGGUGAGCUGCAACGGGGGAGAAGGGAAGAGAGAAAAGAGGGGACCUGAGAGAGAGGGAAGGCACUGGGGAAGGAGAAGCUCGCUGCCACCGUGGAGUACUGCUUCUUGCGCCGCCAUUCGUCCUUGCCGCCGCCAACUGCGCCGUCGCGGAGGUGAGACCGAUUCCGUCACCAUCGCCGCGCCGUGCUACACGCCGUCGCCGCCACUGUUUCGUCACGAGUGAAGAACGCGCGAGGGAGGAAACAGAACCGCGAGGGAGCUCAGCCACAGAGAGAGGAGACGCGCGUCGAAUCUGUCGUCGCCGGUCCGCCCAGCUGACCCAUCGCCAAAACACGUCACCGUCUAUGAAGCUGUCUUUGUCGCCGCUGUCGGAGGUCGCCAUCGGAGCGCUAGCCUCCGCUCCACUUCUGUCAUUCUUCUUCUUACAUUGAGUUGCUCGCGCGUUGAAGCUCUUUCUGUAAUCAUUCUAGCUAUCUGUGGUUAAGGACUUUGAUGUAUAGAUGUUGUAGGGUUAAUUUUAUGGGUUUGCAUGUCAAAAAUUAAGGUUGUUGCUGAGUCACUGAAGCUCCUGGCCGCUGUCGGAGCUACUGCCGGUUAAGUUUGGGGUGGCUGGCGCGUCGUUCUUUUAUUCCAGAGUUAAUAAUCGGGGUUGCAUGUUGGGACUUAAAGAUGUUUAUGCUGUGGUAAAAGUGUGCGGGCUAUGAAUUGAAGCUGCUAUUGACUUCGGGUCGAGAGGAAAGGAAUUUCUUGAGUCAUUUGGAUUGUGGUUUGAACGUGUCGAGGCUUCUCUUUUCAGGAAACGGACGAAGAAGCUUAUGAAAAGUAGUUGAGUUUAGCUUAUGCGAUAGAUCAGAAGAUGUUUUAGUUUAGUUAUUAUUAUUCUUCCCUCACCAUUAAUAUUAUAAUUUUUACAAGAGGGAUAGGAGUUUUGAUAUGUGAAGUUUAUAUAUUGGAAUGAUGUAUUUAUAUAUAUAUUAUUUGCAACUAUUGUAGAUUGUAUUGAAAGG